UACAGAGGUACCAAGCGUUGUUCGGAUUCACUGGGCGUAAAGGGUGCGUAGGCGGUCGGGUAAGUCUGACGUGAAAUCUUCAAGCUUAACUUGGAAACUGCGUCGGAUACUAUUCGGCUAGAGGAAUGGAGGGGAGACUGGAAUACUUGGUGUAGCAGUGAAAUGCGUAGAUAUCAAGUGGAACACCAGUGGCGAAGGCGAGUCUCUGGACAUUUCCUGACGCUGAGGCACGAAAGCCAGGGGAGCAAACGGG
rnacentral:rRNA from 1 species